UGCGACGGUCUAAGGAGCAGUCCUAUGCGUCCACCCACCAUGCGUCCACCUGUCCACCACUAAACAAGUUGCAAGGUCAGAUGUGUUGUCCUCCUACCCCCAACUUCCGGUCCUAGUUCCAGUAGGCCCUUGUUGGUCUACCUGUGAGAGUACCUGAGCUACAUCUCUGAAGGUGAGCACUCGUACAGAGACACUAUUGAGUGCUAGUACGCAGAGGCACGGAUGCACAGAAGGUUAACCCAAGCAUAGAUGAGUACAGAAUCCACCCGACCAUGUUUUUGUAGGCUUUCACCACAUCAGGCCUUAUGU